AAGUAAUGUACCACUGUAAAGAAUUAUCCUAUUGCCAUUAGAAUUAAAAUCUUAAGUGUGUGUGUGUGUGUGUGUAUAUGUUUUAUUUUUUAUUUUUUAUUUUUUAUUUUGUUAUCUUUUUAUAUUUUAAUAUUAGAUAUAUAUAUGGAAAAAAAAUCAAUGUUUUCAUGUACAUCUGUAUAAUAUGGUAAAAAAUAAUAUCCUACAAGUUAAUUGUGCUUCAUUUAUUCACUAAAUCCAUGCAAUCGUUGUUGUUGUAGGUAAUACUUGGGCUGUGAAGUUGAUGAAUAGCAAUAUAACCAACCCCUCA
rnacentral:lncRNA from 1 species